ACGGCGGCCGUAACUAUAACGGUCCUAAGGUAGCGAAAUUCCUUGUCGGGUAAGUUCCGACCUGCACGAAUGGCGUAACGACUUCCCCACUGUCUCCAGAGCAGACUCAGCGAAAUUGAAUUCCCUGUUAAGAUGCAGGGUACCCGCGGUCAGACGGAAAGACCCUAUGAACCUUUACUAUAGCUUUACAGUGGCAUUAGGCUUGACAUGUGUAGCAUAGGUGGGAGGCUUUGAAGCCAGGACGCCAGUCUUGGUGGAGCCAAUCAGUGAAAUACCACCCUUGCCAAGUUUGAUGUCUAACCACGGUCCAUUAUCUGGAUCUGGGACCCUGUAUGGUGGGUAGUUUGACUGGGGCGGUCGCCUCCUAAAUGGUAACGGAGGCGCGCGAUGGUGAGCUCAAGACGGUCGGAAAUCGUCUUCAAGAGUGCAAUGGCAUAAGCUCGCCUGACUGCGAGACUGACAAGUCGAGCAGAGACGAAAGUCGGUCAUAGUGAUCCGGUGGUUCCGCAUGGAAGGGCCAUCGCUCAACGGAUAAAAGGUACUCUAGGGAUAACAGGCUGAUAGCGCCCAAGCGUCCACAGCGACGGCGCUGUUUGGCACCUCGAUGUCGGCUCAUCUCAUCCUGGGGCUGUAGCAGGUCCCAAGGGUAUGGCUGUUCGCCAUUUAAAGAGGUACGUGAGCUGGGUUCAGAACGUCGUGAGACAGUUCGGUCCCUAUCUGCCGUGGGAGUUGGAAUCUUGAGAGGAGCUGCCCUUAGUACGAGAGGACCGGGGUGGACGUACCUCUAGUGCACCAGUUGUCGCGCCAGCGGCACCGCUGGGUAGCUACGUACGGACGGGAUAACCGCUGAAAGCAUCUAAGCGGGAAGCCUCCCUCAAUACUAGGAUUCCCUAUCAGAGCCGUGGAAGACCACCACGUUGAUAGGCCAGAUGUGGAAGUACAGUAAUGUAUGAAGCUAACUGGUACUAAUUGCUCGAUUGGCUUGUAUUC
rnacentral:rRNA from 1 species